GCCUGACAUACCCAGCCGACAUACGCAGAAUACAAAGAUUUUGAGACUGCAAAAAGGCACUGUCGUGCAAGUUUGGAGAGAUAUGUGGAGACACAGAUGCAGAGGGAGUAAGUUCCUCUGGUGCUGCACCAGGUGUGACUGCUCUGUGCCUCUGCAGUCCCACAGAUACUGGGGCCAGCUGGACAGCGCUGUCAGGUCACAAUGAGGGAGGAGGUGCCACCGUGGGGCCCGAAGCUCACAGUAGUUCCAAAGCAAGAGAGAGAUGAGACGAGCAGGGAAGAAGCAUGAAGUCCUACUAGUCCAUGCAGCACAUAUGGCAUGUGAGGAACACGUUGGGAGCAGAGAAGGAAUCUACAGCUGACAGGAUACAGCCCAGACAGCAGGACAGUGCUGUCCCUGGUCAGGUCCCUGCUCACUACCUCCUUCCAACCCAGGGAACCACUGAGAAGAAGCUUCCCUGAACUUUUCAUCUUCAACCAGUUUUCUUUUUUAAGUUAUUGUGGUGGCUGAAGUUCCCUUGUGAGCAACGGGGCCUGUGAACAUGAGGCUUUUUCCUGAAGAAGUCGUCAUCUUCUUCUUCCUUAUAGGUACUUCUGGCAACUAGGAGAGGUGAUUUCACUGGUCAGGAUUUGCAGCAGACGUGUCUGUGAUAAAUCAAAGUUCCCAAACUUCUCUGGAGCACUGAACCACUCCUGGAAUCUUUUGGACCACCCAUGUGGGACUUGUCACAUGCUGGGGAGUUAGCAGUCAUGUGAGGUCACGCAGCAAGGAAGAAACAUUGCAGCAGAAGAUAGUGAUGGCAGACUCCAACAUCCACCAUAAGUCUUGUAUGACAGACUUUUCAAAAAGGAAGCACCUCAUUUCAGCAUUCAUCAGACAACCGUGGUUGCUCACAAGGAGUUUUUGGAUGCAGCAUUUUCACUAGAACAGCAGCUAAUAAAUCCCAUACCCCAAGCUUCCAGCUCUAACUGGAUUACCAAAUACAUUCGAAAACUUCCUGCAGCAAAUAAGGCUGGGCACAACACCCAAGCAAUCAAUCUGAACAGAGCCUGUGCACAUCUCAUGUAAUGAGAUGGACACUGCAGAAAUGCAAUAGGUAUUUUUGGAGACUGCCAAGGGGCCAACAUGGGUCCCUUUCCUGGAGAAGCUUCUCUCAGCCCAGGGAGAAAGAGAGACAACAGCAUGUGCAUGUGACUGUAGGCAGGAGAAGGCUUUUGUAGACAAACCUUUCCUCAGCCUGGCAGCAAGAACAGCAACACCAUCCUGCAACAUCCAUCAGCCCAUUGGCUUCCAGCAGACUGGAGGAGGGUUGAAAGAAAAUAGAUUUGCUUAAUGAAAGGAUUUCUUCACCAGGACAGGAUAAAAAUGGAAGUGUUUCUGCGCAAAUAUUUUUGGAAUGUUCACCGACUUGAAUUUGAAUGGUAGGACUAUAUUAAACAAGGUAUCAAUAAAAGAACACUUCACUUAAAAAUAAGACCUUCUGAGCAUAGACAUACUGUUUGAAAUGUUUGGAUGCCAGAAUAGCUGAAUACUGCAUUCGCCACCCUGAGCCUUACAAAGCACAAAGGAGGAAACAAAACAAUCCUAGAAAAUGUAAGGAGGAAAUGGAGGAUAUUCACCAUUUUGCAGAAGACUACCCCAAAAGUUGUUUUGUGACAAAGUCCCAUUUAAGAACUCAAAACAGUCAUUAAUAAUAGGUCUUACAAAACUGACAGGCCAUUUUUUGACACUGUCCAGCGAUGUCUUUGAUUCAUAAAUCAUUUCCUUUAUCAGUUCUGCUAUGAGCAAUUUCCAGAUUUAACAACUGCAACAUCUUCUGGGAGACUCUGAAGAAAGCAAAAGGCCACCAAGACAGCCAUCAAUUUCUGCUCUUCAGAAUUAGGGAAAGUAGAUUGGUUUUAACCCUCUUACUGUAUUUUAACAAAAUUAAUGUGCUUCUGUGAUAUGGAAAUGAAAACAUUCAAAAAUAUAAGUAUUUAAGUAAAUAUUCAAAUAGGAAACUCCUUAUAGAACCUACACUCUUCCAGAAUGCAUGUGUUCCCUUGUCCCUUCACCAUACAACUGUGUGAUUUUCAGUGUCUGCAAUUUAAAUAACAACCAGUAGACAUUACAAAAAGAAUUUUAGCUGAUGUAAAUACUGGGCAAAACAAAUUUGAAGUAAUUUGCAGUUCUAGGAAUGUUCCACCUAUUGCAUUUUCUCCACAUUCAAAGGCAAGUUUUUGAGCUAACAAAAAGCCAAGAAUGAAUUGGCCCUAAGUAUAUAUCAAAAGUGCUUUUUCAUGACAAGGAAUGGCAGUUGUGAAUAAAAACUGUAUAGAAUAUUUUUUUAACAAUUCAUUAUAACUAAUAAUUUAUGUGAUUCAGAUUAUUAGUGAAAAACUGUUUAUCCAUCCCUCCUGCAGACAAUGAAUUUUUGGAGAGAAAUUACAGUAGAUUUUAACUUGUUCAUAAUACCUCUUUAGGAUUCAUCUAUUGGAAACCAGAGGCCACAAUUCUGGAGUGUUGAGUUAAAUGUCAAAGUAAACUAGUUUCUUUCACAUUGUAAGCCAGAAAAUCAAUAUGUUGAGGGGUUUUACCAACAAUUAUCUGUGCCUGCUGAGAAUGACAGUUCAAGUUCUUCCCACUUCCCUAACACGUGUGGCUGAUAGCAGUCUGAGAACAGUAUCCCAAAAAACAGUGAGAGCAACAUUUCACCUGCAUGUAUGAACCAUAUGGAUCUGGCAGGAGAAAAUGUGGUGCUGUUUAUACCAAAAUGCCAUGUAGGCACCUCAGCUAGACAUUCUUGUGGAGAUUCAGGGGCAGGGGAAAGAGUAACAGGAACAACAGUCCAUGUUUCUUUUUGCCAGGUAAAACUGAGAGGCUAGGGCAAUCAGUAGUAAUUAUGGUUGGUAAGGCUUUUAUUGGGUAAUAUGACAGCAUUUUCCUCUACAGUGUAAACCAGAAAUGUCCAUUCUUUUGGAAAACUUUUUAAUAGCAGCUAUUUGUAAUUAAUUUUAAAUAUCUCUGGACAGACAUAAAGGUUUCUUGCAUAUGUUAUCUUAAACUAACCAGUAAUUCGUAGACAACAUUUGGUUUCAGGGUUGGAACAAUCCUGUUAAAAUUGAACUUUUGCACCUGAAACAGAUGUGGACUUGUGCAACUAAAUCAAAGCAGCACUUCUACCAUCUAAUAAUUCAUCUCUGGCAAAUGGUUUUUCAGAUUUUUCAGAAAGUUUCUUUUAUGUUGAAGCUGUAUAUUUAUUUGUGGACCUGCCACUCCACUUCUGAAUUUUAGUGAUGCGAAAAGAACACAGCCCAGGCAACAUCUUAGGCUAUCACAGAAUUCAACAGAAAAUUACCUAACAAUUCUAAUAUCUUGGCAGAUUUGAGCCUAUCCUAAGCAAAAUAAAACUUCAAAUAUCCACAAGAAAAUGUGACUGAGAUAUAGUUUAUGUACCUAUCUCCACUAUGCUUAAUCACUAGGAUCUGGCAGAAAGUAUUAUCACCUAAAUCCAGAUUAAACAAGUUUGACUGGAGAUCUUGUGAAAAUCUGAAAUGAUCUUGGAAAUUGGAUGAUGAUGGCAAUGAUGAUGAGGAUGACAACAAUAACAAUAAUACCAGUUGAUGUUGGUAUUAUGAAUACUUUUAAGUUUUAAAAAAUGGAUAAUAUUGCCUGGCUGAUGAAGACAUGUAAACUAAUCCUAAAAUGAAAUAAGGAUUUGAGAUUUUAAUCCAAUCUAACCAGACUAAAGCCCAUGAACUAGCUAUCUUGCUCCUUACCAAGUAACUAAACUGAUUCUGUCCCAAACUUUCCUAACUCCUACAUGUCAAUAAUAUUAGCCAGUACAGAUGUCCUAUCAAGACUGAUAUUAUACUACUCCAUAAUUUUUUUCCUAGACUGUGCCCUCAGUCAGGCAGUGUCAACUAUUCUUUCCAUAAACAAUGUAUAGGUUUCUUACCCUACCUACUAGACUCACCUGUAAUUAUAGGCUGCCAAUGCUUUGGAAUAAUCUCUUUUUUCUUCAUUUAGCAAGGUCAAAAAUUGAUUUAAAAAAUUCAUUGUGAUAUUAAACUCAAGGUUUAUAUAUAACUCCCUCUACAGCACUCUUUGUACAAACAGAAUAUCAGUGGCUUCCAAUAAGCAACACACAUCAAUCAACAUUCUUUUAAUUAUUCUACAGGAGGCUGAAUGACUUCAAGCAUACUGCAAAAUCCAGUUAACUACUCUAACAUGAAAGAGAAUAAAGGCAAAAUAUAAAGUCAAAACAAAGUCCUGCCUAGCCACCUUCUUAGCCUCUUUAAUAGGCCUCCGAUUCACCCCUUACUUGUUGUGUAUUGAUUUCCAGUUGAAACUAAAUAUUUUGGAAUAAUAUAAUUGCUGUGUUCCUGCUGGAGAUGAGUGGCUGUUUAGUUUAUAUUUCCAUGCUUGGUUUUAUAAACUCACAAUUGUUCCCAUUUGCAAUCAGGUCAGUGUCAAACACCUUCCAAAAACAUACAGUGAAAUAUUUGCCAAAUAUUGCUUGACAUUAUUGCAAAGACAUUAGUGGUUAUUUGGGUUAAGUUUCCAUGCUGUGUGUGCCAGAACCAAAAUGAAUAAUAAGUAUACCAUGUAAAGUAAUGACAAAAUUAAAAUAAUUUUGUGGCCAGCAUAAUUUGGUUACAGGAUCAAAGCAAAAAUAUUACUGGAUGCUAAAAGAUGGAGUUCUUUCAUCAUAGCAGGACCAUGAGCAAUGAACAAAUAAAUGUGUUAGUGGAACAGUCAAGGAUGAUCAAAAUCUACGCUGCUAAAAAAAUAAUAUGCAGAACCCCCCUACACAGUGUUCACAACUACUUGUUAAUGAAAAGUUCACAAAAUAGAGUAUUGGUUUUUUUUUUGUUUUCACAUACCUGAUUGAAUACAAAAUUUUCUCAGUUGUUCUGGCAUCCUUCUGUGGCUACAAUCUGGAAGGAAUAAUCUUCCUCAGAUACUUCCUUGAACUAUCUCACUUUGAAUGAUAACACAGAACCCUUAUGAUAGUGUAUAGUAGUUGCAGGUUUUGUUUCUUUGUCCAACUACUCUGUGAGAGACCAGUCCGCAACAUCUGAUUUCUAAAUAGUUUCAAAUCACCUGCUAUUUUUUCUCCCUUUGCCCAGAACCUUGAUAAUCUUUCAUUGAGAGCAAAGGUUUAACAUGCUUGUCUGACGUUUGAUGAAAUAUUAUACAGUUUAUAAUUGUACAUAUUUGGCUAUUACACGAUAAUCCACAGUGAGAUGAAGGAAAUCCCUACCACCUCAGAGAAUUACUCUGUUUUUCUUGUACUCCCCUGGGUCUGACACAGAUCACAGAAAGAAGGGUAUGUACACACAGACCAGGGCAACCAAUAGUCUUGAUUCUGUCCCCGCCUCAUUUUCUACAUGGCUUCAUGCAUUACAGGAGCCUGGCAGAGGGUGAGAGCACAUGUAAAGUUUAGGAAGCAGAAAUUAAGACAGGUGAACUCAUUUCCAGGACUGACUCUUCCAUAGAUUUCACAGAAAUUUCCGGAUUUCCCUCCCUGCCCACAAUACAGAAAUAUUUUUCAGUCCUCAGUUUUUCAUGUGUCUUGUUUGUAGUGCUGAGUUUCAGGGGUGUGAUAUGACCAUGCACUUUCUCAAGUGUGCAUUCCUAAGCAUGCUCAUGGCCAGCUCUGAAGAACAGAGCAGUGCUGGGAGUUUCCACACUGACAGACUUUAUCCUAAUUGCUAGUAAAAGUCUCAUAAAAAGUCUUUUCUGACAUAUUUUC